UUUAUUUAUAGACGGAGCCUUAGUCUGUCACCCAGGCUAGAGUGCAGUGGUGCGAUCUUGGGUCACUGCAACCUCCACCUCCCCAGUUCAAGCUAUUCUUGUGCCUCAGCCUCCCAAGUAGCUGGGAUUACAGGUGCGCACCACCACACCCGGCUAAUUUUUAUAUUUUUAGUAGAGGUGGGGUUUCACCAUGUUGGCCAGGCUGGUUUCAAAGUUUUGACCUCAAGUGAUCCGCCCACCUCAGCCUUCCAUAGUGGUGGGAUUACAGGCGUGAGCCACCGCACCCAGCCCUAUUAUUACUUUUAUAUAAGUGUCCUGUCACUAUACAAGAGAUGAGGAUUUCAACCGAGGCCAAUUUGUUCUCUGAGUAUUUCCUUGGGCCUGUAUGGUUCGAGUAGUGUGGGAGGGGCACCCAGGGCCUCUGCCCAGGCCCUGAGCCCCACUUCCUGUCCUGCAGAUCUUCUGGUGACCCCACUUCUCGCUGCUCAUGCCGCUGGGACUGGGGCGGCGGAAAAAGGCGCCCCCUCUAGUGGAAAAUGAGGAGGCUGAGCCAGGCCGUGGAGGGCUGGGCGUGGGGGAGCCAGGGCCUCUGGGCGGAGGUGGGGCGGGGGGCCCCCAAAUGGGCUUGCCCCCCCCUCCCCCAGCCCUGCGGCCCCGCCUCGUGUUCCACACCCAGCUGGCCCAUGGCAGUCCCACUGGCCGCAUCGAGGGCUUCACCAACGUCAAGGAGCUGUAUGGCAAGAUCGCCGAGGCCUUCCGCCUGCCAACUGCCGAGGUACCCACUGGGGAGCCGGGCACCAGGGUCCCUGAUGGUGGACCAGAGGUCUGGGCCUGCAUCCUGUUCAUGAGCUGGGGCUCAGAUGCCGAAGCUACAGAUGCUGAGCCUGGGCCCCACUCAGUGGUGGGGGCCAAUGGCCCGGGCUGGAUGCUGAGUUCCCAUGAGGCACUGGGAGGCUUGUGCCCCUGUGAAUUGUGGGGAACUGGAGGCCAGGGCUGGAUGCUGAGUUCCCAUCAGGCACUGGGAGACCUGUGCCCCAGUGGAUUGUGGGAGCUGAUGGCCAGGGCUGCAUGCUGACAUCCCAUCAGGCAUUAGGAGGGGUGUACCCCCAGUAGAUUGUGCAAGACUAGGGGUGGAUGCUGAGUUCCCAACAGGCACUGAGAGAUCUGAGCUCCAAUGGACUGUGGGAGGCCAGGGCUGGAUGGAUUGAUUGGAUGGAUGGAUUGAGAGGCCUGCAUCCCAGUCGAUUGUGCAAAACUGACGACCAGGGCUGGACGCUGAGUUCCCAUCAGGCGUUGGGAGGCCUGCACCCCAGUAGAUUGUGGGGAGCUGAUGGCCACAGUUAAAUGCUGAGUUCCCAUCAGACACUGAGAGGCCUGCACCUCUACAGACUGUGGGAGCUGAUGGCCAGGGCUGGAUGCUGAGUUCCUGUCAGGCAUUGGGAGGCCAGUGCCCCAUGAGAUGGUGGAGGCUAGAGGCCAGAUACAAGAUGCACUUCUCCGUGAUGCCUUGGAGAAACUCAACGCUGUGGGAGGCAGGCUUGCCUGGUGCCAAGCACUGUGGGGAUAGAUGGGAGGGGGUCAAGGAGGGCAAUAGUGGGUUUGAGCAAGAAGUAGACGCAGGGGUCUCCAUAAGUGGGAUGAGUUUCUGUGUCCUCCACAAGCAUUUCCUGAGCACUCACUGUGUGCCAGGCUCCAUUCCCUGAAAGCAGCAAUGAGU
rnacentral:sRNA from 1 species